AUGAAGUUAGCGGCGGACGGGUGAGUAACACGUGGGUAACCUGCCCAUAAGACUGGGAUAACUCCGGGAAACCGGGGCUAAUACCGGAUAACAUUUUGAACUGCAUGGUUCGAAAUUGAAAGGCGGCUUCGGCUGUCACUUAUGGAUGGACCCGCGUCGCAUUAGCUAGUUGGUGAGGUAACGGCUCACCAAGGCAACGAUGCGUAGCCGACCUGAGAGGGUGAUCGGCCACACUGGGACUGAGACACGGCCCAGACUCCUACGGGAGGCAGCAGUAGGGAAUCUUCCGCAAUGGACGAAAGUCUGACGGAGCAACGCCGCGUGAGUGAUGAAGGCUUUCGGGUCGUAAAACUCUGUUGUUAGGGAAGAACAAGUGCUAGUUGAAUAAGCUGGCACCUUGACGGUACCUAACCAGAAAGCCACGGCUAACUACGUGCCAGCAGCCGCGGUAAUACGUAGGUGGCAAGCGUUAUCCGGAAUUAUUGGGCGUAAAGCGCGCGCAGGUGGUUUCUUAAGUCUGAUGUGAAAGCCCACGGCUCAACCGUGGAGGGUCAUUGGAAACUGGGAGACUUGAGUGCAGAAGAGGAAAGUGGAAUUCCAUGUGUAGCGGUGAAAUGCGUAGAGAUAUGGAGGAACACCAGUGGCGAA
rnacentral:rRNA from 1 species